AAGCGUUGUUCGGAAUUAUUGGGCGUAAAGCGCGUGUAGGCGGUUUGUUAAGUCUGAUGUGAAAGCCCUGGGCUCAACCCAGGAAGUGCAUUGGAUACUGGCAGACUUGAAUACGGGAGAGGGCAGUGGAAUUCCUGGUGUAGGAGUGAAAUCCGUAGAUAUCAGGAGGAACACCGGUGGCGAAGGCGGCUGCCUGGACCGAUAUUGACGCUGAGACGCGAAAGCGUGGGUAGCAAACAGGAUUAGAUACCCUGGUAGUCCACGCCGUAAACGAUGGGUACUAGGUGUCGCGGGUAUUGACCCCUGCAGUGCC
rnacentral:rRNA from 1 species